rnacentral:rRNA from 1 species
AAUGGUGAAAAGUACCCCGGGAGGGGAGUGAAAUAGUACCUGAAACCGUGUGCCUGUAAGCCGUCAGAGCCUUGUGGGGUGAUGGCGUGCCUUUUGAAGAAUGAGCCUGCGAGUUAGUGAUACGUGGCGUGCUUAACCCGUGUGGGGUAUGCGUAGCGAAAGCGAGUCUGAAAUAUUGGCGUUUGUCGCGUGUUCUAGACCCGAAGCGGGGUGAUCUACCCAUGGUCAGGUUGAAGCAGAGGUAAGACUGUGUGGAGGACCGAACCCACCAGGGUUGAAAACCUGGGGGAUGAACUGUGGGUAGGGGUGAAAGGCCAAUCAAACUCCGUGAUAGCUGGUUCUCCCCGAAAUGCAUUUAGGUGCAGCGUUGCGUGGUCCCUGGUGGAGGUAGAGCUACUGGAUGGCCGAUGGGCCCUGUGGGUUACUGACGUCAGCCAAACUCCGAAUGCCAUUAGGUGUAGCGUGGCAGUGAGACUGCGGGGGAUAAGCUUCGUAGUCGAGAGGGAAACAGCCCAGAUCAUCAGCUAAGGCCCCUAAGCGUACGCUAAGUGGGAAAGGAUGUGGAGUCGCGGUGACAACCAGGAGGUUGGCUUAGAAGCAGCCAUCCUUGAAAGAGUGCGUAAUAGCUCACUGGUCAAGUGGUUCUGCGCCGACAAUGUAGCGGGGCUCAAGCGUACCGCCGAAGCUGUGGCAACAACACGCAAUGCUGGCGCCAGGAACUGGAGUGCUGGUGUGUUGUUGGGUAGGGGAGCGUCCUGCACGAGGUGAAGCCUGGAGGGAACUUCUGGUGGAUUGUGUGGGAGUGAGAAUGCAGGCAUGAGUAACGAAUCUGCGGUGAGAAUCCGCAGCGCCGAUUGACUAAGGGUUCCAGGGCUAGGUUUAUCCGCCCUGGGUUAGUCGGGUCCUAAGGCGAGGCCGACAGGCGUAGUCGAUGGACAACCAGUUGAUAUUCUGGUACCGCGUUAUGACCGCCCAUGCUGAAGUCAUUGUGCUAACCAAUCUGCCCGUGCUCCCGCAUGGCUUUCGGGCCGCGCGGUGUGUGUGGGUCUUGGGGUCCCGGUGAUGGUAGGCAAGCGUGUUAACAGGGGUGACGCAGACAGGUAGCUGCAGUGCGCCGAUGGUUGUGCGUAUUUAAGGUUGUGGCCCGCCCUUCAGGUAAAUCCGGGGGGCAUAGUGGGUGAGGACUGAUGAGGGACACACGCGUGUGUGGACUUGUGGUGAUCCUAUGCUGCCGAGAAAAGCCUCGACGUGAGGGCAUGACGCGCCCGUACCCUAAACCGACUCAGGUGGUCAGGUAGAGUAUACCGAGGCGUUCGAGUGAAUCGUGGUUAAGGAACUCGGCAAAAUUCCUCCGUAACUUCGGGAUAAGGAGGACCCCGUGACUUGCUCCCACCGUGCGUGGGUGUUGGGUUGUGGGGUCGCAGAGAAUAGGGAGAAGCGACUGUUUAUCAAAAACACAGGUGCGUGCGAAGCCGUAAGGCGAUGUAUACGCACUGACGCCUGCCCGGUGCUGGAAGGUUAAGAGGAACCGUUAACAUUCUUUGUGGGUGUGAAGCGGUGAAUUUAAGCCCCAGUAAACGGCGGUGGUAACUAUAACCAUCCUAAGGUAGCGAAAUUCCUUGUCGGGUAAGUUCCGACCUGCACGAAUGGCGUAACGACUUCUCCGCUGUCUCAACCGCGAACUCGGUGAAAUUGCAGUACGAGUAAAGAUGCUCGUUUCGCGCAGAAGGACGGAAAGACCCCGGGACCUUUACUAUAGCUUGGUAUUGGUGUUCGCUUGUGCUUGUGUAGGAUAGGUGGGAGACUGUGAAGCCGCGGCGCCAGCCGUGGUGGAGUCGUCGUUGAAAUACCAUUCUGGUUCAAGCGGUCACCUUAACCUAGACCCGUGAUCCGGGUUGGGGACAGUGCCUGGUGGGUAGUUUAACUGGGGCGGUUGCCUCCUAAAAUGUAACGGAGGCGCUCAAAGGUUCCCUCAGCCUGGUUGGUAAUCAGGUGGCGAGUGCAAGUGUACAAGGGAGCUUGACUGUGAGACCGACGGGUCGAGCAGGUGCGAAAGCAGGAACUAGUGAUCCGGCCAUGGCACGUGGGUGCGUGGUCGCUCAACGGAUAAAAGGUACCCCGGGGAUAACAGGCUGAUCUUGCCCAAGAGUCCAUAUCGACGGCAUGGUUUGGCACCUCGAUGUCGGCUCGUCGCAUCCUGGGGCUGGAG